rnacentral:siRNA from 1 species
ACGGUUGGAUUGACCAUCUUCUGC